rnacentral:rRNA from 1 species
GACGUAGGGCGCGAGCGUUGUCCGGAUUUAUUGGGCGUAAAGAGCUCGUAGGCGGUUCGGUAAGUCGGAUGUGAAAUCUCCACGCUCAACGUGGAGGGGCCAUUCGAUACUGCCGUGACUCGAGUCCGGUAGGGGAGUGUGGAAUUCCCGGUGUAGCGGUGAAAUGCGCAGAGAUCGGGAGGAACACCCGUAGCGAAGGCGGCACUCUGGGCCGGUACUGACGCUGAGGAGCGAAAGCGUGGGAGCGAACAGG